UGUUAUGAGAUGGGCUAAGGUGUAAUUGUGCAAAUGAGAGGGGCCAAGGUGUAAUGGUGCAAGUAAUUGAGUUUACUUGGAGGGCAAGUUUCCUAUGUACCUAUGUAAAAGAGUUUACUUGUUGGGCAAGUUUUCUAUGUAAUUGAGUGAAUCCUUGCCCUUUUCCCCCAAACCGUAGGAGAGAGAGAGGGUGAGUUUUCUCUCUUUUUCUCUUUGACUUUAUGACCUCUCUUUCUCUUUGGUUCUCUUUACCAAAGAGAGGAUUAGAGAAGAAAGAAAAAUUGGAAUUUGCUUGGUGGUGAAGCAAGCUUGGUGGAGAAGAAGCUCUUCUCCCUCUCAUACUCAAGCUAGGGCUUGCUUUGGAGCAAACCCUAGAGGCGAAGACGGUUCGUCGAUCCGACGAGUGAGCGCGGAGAUAUCACUGAUUUGAGUGCUCUAGGGUUCGUUUUGACCCGAGGUGUUGAAGCGGCGCACGUGGACCGCGACGCCAAGUUUAGUAGCUCUACGGUACUACCACAAGGUACACACGAGAGUGGAUCGGCAGAGGAUCGCGACAAGGGCUUAGCGCCCUUGUGCUAGUUGAUAGUUUACUUUCGUAUUUUGCAUUAGAGUUACCCUAUACAUGUAUUGAGAGGAGAUGAUGUAUAGGAUGUGAGGUAUUUUGAGAUAAAUGUAAGCUUAUAUUCAUAUUUUGGAAAAGAAUGCAAGUUGUAAUUAAAUGUAUCAAGUAGAAUGGUUGUAAUAGAACAGUUAAGUAUCUCUCUUUUGUUUCACUUAUAUGUCUUCUACUUGU